GAGUUUGAUCCUGGCUCAGGAUUAACGCUGGCGGCGUGCCUAACACAUGCAAGUCGAGCGAGAAGUCGGAAGUGAAACUUCGGUGAAACGGAAGAUGGAAAGCGGCAGACGGGUGAGUAACGCGUGAAUAAUCAACCCUGCACAAAGGGAUAGCCUCGGGAAACCGGGAUUAAUACCAUAUGAAGUAUAUUAAUCGAAUGAUAGAUAUAUUAAAGUUUUUAACGGUGCAGGACGAGUUCGCGUCCCAUUAGCUAGUUGGUGAGAUAAAAGCUCACCAAGGCGACGAUGGGUAGCCGGCCUGAGAGGGUGAACGGCCACACUGGAACUGAGACACGGUCCAGACUCCUACGGGAGGCAGCAGUGGGGAAUAUUGCACAAUGGAGGAAACUCUGAUGCAGCGACGCCGCGUGAGCGAAGAAGGCUUUCGAGUCGUAAAGCUCUGUCCUAAGAGAAGAAGAAGUGACGGUAACUUAGGAGGAAGCCCCGGCUAACUACGUGCCAGCAGCCGCGGUA
rnacentral:rRNA from 1 species